AUUUUAUGUUCCCGCGUCUACAAGUGUAUUGUGCAACACACAGGCAUUUCAGAGAGGUUCGACUGAUUGUUUGUGCCUGAUAAGCACCCGGCAUUUCCUGUGCGAUUAUUACUCCCACCAUUACAUAAACAAUCUUUAGAGGAAUCAGACUGUGCAUUCUAUUGCAUCUGUCAUCGCAGAUCCAUCGUUAUUCCCUGGAAAGUGGAGUUUAUCAGGACAGACAAGCAGUGAGACAUGACUAAGAUGCCUGGCUGGUUUGCUUGUUUGGCAGUAGUAGUCGUCGUAAUUCUUGGAUAUUUCCUCUUCAAAUUCCUGUGCUCACACAAAUGUUCGCGUUGGCAAGUUGAUAGGAGGCGUGCUCAACGGGAAUCAGAUAUGACGUCAAAAGAUAAAAAGAAAGACACGAAAGUUCCUCCCGCGUUGAUUGAUACUGGAAAAUGCAUGCAGGUUUCCACUUUGCCGCCAUCGUAUGAACAGUGUAUGAAGUCACAGAUCUAUCUCGUGAAAAUGGAACAGCCACCAUCUUACAUGGAAUACGAGGCAUAGUUGUCCGGUUCGGCGGAAGAUUUGGGAAGCAGCUAUUGAUGUUAAAUGAACAUACUUGUUGUAAUGAACUUCUCAGUCAAAGUAUUGACAAUGAUAAAAUAAUGAUAAUCCUAGAACAAUAAGUCAAUCAAUUAAACAAUCAAUCAAUAAUAGUAACACCAUUUAUCUAAGUGUCACGCAAUAUACAUAUAUAUGUUAUAUUCAGAUCAAUUCAGUCAUAUGGUUAUCUGGUUACAUGGUUCAGUUAAUUUUGGCUUACGAGACACUAUGGUCAUUAAAUUACGAUCAAUAAAUAUAUUUCGAUAAAUAAGACACGAUUAUUUUAUCAUACAAUAUUUUCUUGAUAAUUGUUUUCUUCUUUUAAACAUAUAAUAUAUGGAUUUAGCUUAAAUAUACUGCAGCUUAGAAUUAUUAAUCAGAUGUACAAAUCCAUCACAUGGGUUCAUUAUUAAAACGUUUUCGAUUACAAAUUCUGCUUGAUCAAAUAGUAAAACUGUAUAUCAUUUUAUUUUUAAUAUUUGCAUUUAAAGAAUUAAAACAAUUUCUACAAGUUCGGUUUUCAAAUGGCACAGGUGAUCAGUCUUUUUAAAAUGUCAAGACAAAUAUAGACAUACAGAGUUACAUUAUCAAUUCACUGUGUAAAUACUAUCAUACAUGUAGUUUGCAUUUGAAUGGUUAUUUUUCAAUAGUUGCCAGAACUUCAUACUUUAUGAAUAUAUUGCUGACUGACUUGUCUUUUAAUGUUAAAUAGAUGUCUCAGCUGUACUUUGAUUACUGGAGUUUCAAAAAGGUGUACCUUAUCUUGGGCUUUGUGCAUAGUUGUCAAUCAGUCAGGAAUUUUAAUUGGUUUAAACACGGACUUAGAUAGCUUAAAAUGUUGGUUGGUUUUCACAGAUAAAUGUUCAGAAUUUGGGUUAUCUCAUAUUGUGACCGGGUGGAAUCUGUUUUUAGUGUCUUCGGCAUGGUAUAUCAGUAAACGCUAAAGUAGAAAUUAACACCGCGCUGUUGCAAGGAGCCAAAUACAUAAUAUAACGAUGCAGAAGAAAAUAACCCCUCAUAUUAAACUUUCAAAAACCGACUUGUUCUUACAUUACUUUCUACAUUAAUAAUUGAAAUAUUUCAGUUGAUGGUAAAAGCUUCAUGUCAUGUCUUUCCAAUAAGCUCCAGCCGUCAAGGAUACCAAUAGAUUAGGUCAUAUAUACUACAUCACUGGGAAGAUAACUAAAUAUUGUCUAUACUAAACAAUUAUAUAAAUAAAGCAGUCAUAUACUACAUCACUUGGAACAGAUAACUAAAUGUUGUCUAUACUAAACAAUUAUAUAAAUAUAGAUCAGGUCAUAUACUACAUCACUGGGAACAGAUAGCUAAAGAUUGUCUAUACUAAACAAAGAUAAAUAUAGAACAGGUCAUAUACUACAUCAAUGGGAACAGAUAGCUAAAUAUUGUCUAUACUACACAAAGAUAAAUAUAGAUCAGGUCAUAUAAUACAUCAAUGGGAACAGAUAGCUAAAUAUUGUCUAUACUAAAUAAAUAUAUAAAUAGAUCAGGUCAUAUACUACAUCACUGGGAACAGAUAACUAAAUAUUGUCUAUACUAAACAAAUAUAUAAAUAGAUCAGGUCAUAUACUACAUCACUGGGAACAGAUAACUCCAAUGCUUCCCUUAAAUAUGGGUUUAUUUCAGGAGAAGGGAAGUCUACAACAUGUAAUAAAUACAUUACACACAGUUAUGCACUCCGCGCUCUCAUUCCGGAAUCAUACCUAUUCAUUCCUCUCACCUAUCUUACUCACUACAUAUACAUAGAUACAUGUGAACAGAUUACAUGAUAAUGAUACAUUGCACAAUUGAGCGCGCGGGGACAAACAAAUGAUGUACCUGUUUAUUACACCUGGCUACACACUCCCCCUCUUUAUAAAAUGUCACAUGACAUUUCUCGAGUAUUUCCAUGACAACAUAUACAGAUAUCUGAGAAAAAAUGAGGCUAUUGUUCUAGAACCAAUUCUGUAAAAGAUACCAGCUGACAAGAACAUUAUUAUAAUGAUUCCUUUACAAUAUUUGAUAAACUCUCACCAGCUCAGGUAUUUAUUACAUUUUAAGAAGUUAUAUUUAUCCAACAAGUGUAAUCUUUUCAGAGUACACAGAGCUCUAGCGUUACUUAUGUGUCCUAAAUAAAAUAAAAGACCAACGCUUUUCAGGUUAUAAAUCCCAGCCCUUUGGGAAAAUACAGGUCAGCUACCUUGUAAAACAGCCAAAAUACAGAUUAUACUCAUUUCCUACUUUUACAAGUAAGACGUAAUGCUACAAGAGCAAGGUAACACAGCUUUACUGUUGGGACCCCCCUGCCAUACAAUGACACCUAUUCAUAUAAGGCUACACUACAUGUAUUAAUGUCCUACUUAAAACUUGAAGGCAAUGACAUAAAAUACAAAUAUAUGAUUAAAUAGUUAUCAACUGGUACAAACCUAUAAACCCUGCGUUGCCAUGCUUACCAGGGACACCGGGAAGCUUAGAUGUAUAAUCAUGGACGUCUGUUCCCAUGCAGGGGUGACGUCUGAAUGCCUAUGCUGGUCACCUGUAGCCGGGGCAUAGGCCCAACAACGUGACAGUAGCCAGGUGACACGGGACAGAAGCCCGUGCUUCCUGCGCGCGCGGGGAUAUAUAGGUGAUGUACCUGUUUGUUACACCUGGCUACACAUGUAUUCAAAUUAUGAAAAAUGUUACUUGACUGUCUAUUUUAACUGACUGCGUAUUGAAUUUGAUAGGAGAUUUGUACAGACUUGUACGCACUUCUGUCAAUUCUUGUAUCGAGUUUGGAUACACUGAUAUGUCUGAACAUACGGAAACUACGGUCCAGGUACAUGCAUAAAGUUGCUAUGUUUACUGUAUAUGAGACGGUGUCAAUUUAUUUCAUAAU